AGUGAACGCUGGCGGUAGGCCUAACACAUGCAAGUCGAACGGCAGCACAGUAAGAGCUUGCUCUUACGGGUGGCGAGUGGCGGACGGGUGAGGAAUACAUCGGAAUCUACUUUUUCGUGGGGGAUAACGUAGGGAAACUUACGCUAAUACCGCAUACGACCUACGGGUGAAAGCAGGGGAUCUUCGGACCUUGCGCGAUUGAAUGAGCCGAUGUCGGAUUAGCUAGUUGGCGGGGUAAAGGCCCACCAAGGCGACGAUCCGUAGCUGGUCUGAGAGGAUGAUCGGCCACACUGGAACUGAGACACGGUCCAGACUCCUACGGGAGGCAGAGGUGGGGAAUAUUGGACAAUGGGCGCAAGCCUGAUCCAGCCAUACCGCGUGGGUGAAGAAGGCCUUCGGGUUGUAAAGCCCUUUUGUUGGGAAAGAAAAGCAGCAGGUUAAUACCCCGCUGUUCUGACGGUACCCAAAGAAUAAGCACCGGCUAACUUCGG
rnacentral:rRNA from 1 species